CAUCGGAGCUGGCGAUGCUGGGUGCCUGGGCCACACGAGCGGCUACAAGAGGUCCAUUCACCUGCCUCCCAGCUACGGAUGUGGACGCGGGAACAUGGCACUGAGAGUCCGGACAUCUUCCUUUCCUGCCUUGGAGACCGCUGGCCCAUGAAGAGUCCAGAAUCACGGGACACACAGCGGAAAACUGGGCGCCAGACACCUGGAGAAAGCACGAGGGGAGGGGGCCAGAUGACCUUAGAAGGCUGGCUGAGGCAAGAGCAGUUUUGCUGGGAUCCCGUGGAGUGGGUUUCAGGGGCGUAACAGGGUUUGGCUCAGAGAGUUUUUAAGAAAGCGAGUCAGAGGGAGCUGGGCGAAGACCAGGAGUGGGUUUCAGGGUCAGCAAAGCCGGGGAGGCGGUGCCAGGGCCGAGCAGUCAGGAGCCCAGGUCUGGAUCACUGACCAGAGCGCUUACCUUUU